AACUUAAUGGCUGUGAUGCACAAUUGAUACUUUGUCUGGAUUUUAGUGAUCUCUUCUUACAUUUGGCUUCCUAAAUCAACUUCAUAUCUUCAACAGUCAAAGUUGUGCAUUAAACUUCUUUGUAUCUUUGAUCAAUAGUGGUGCUGAAUUGUUUUUUGAGGGGGUUGGGGGUUGUUAAUUCAUUCUUAUUAGACAUGGAUAUCUUUUUACACAUUUGAUUUUAUUUAUAAUCUAAUCAAAAGGCUCAUAUAUAUUAAGUUUAUUUGGCAACAUCAUAAUCUUUUAAAAAAGAAACAGAAAUUAGGCAUAGUUGUGUUCAUAAAGUGUUUUGUGGAGACUCAAAGAAGUCUUAGAUUUCACUUUGUCCAACCCAGGUACAAAAAGAAUCCCCACAAUAGUAUACCAAAUAAUUGAUUGUUCAAGGUUGAAUGGGACUUGCUUCUUAAAAGAUAGAGUUCUGUUGUUCUUCCUUAAGUGUUUCUUUUUAUUAUUAUAAAAGAUCACAUACCCCUAUUUCCUUUCAUUGAUAAAAGGUAUACAAUUCAAGGAAGAAGACUUGGAUGAUCAAGUUAUUGUUUUAGUUCAAUGACAUUCUGCAAAGAACUGAGAGCUUAAUGUUUCACCAAGGAGUCAAAGUCUUCCUUGGAGCAGAAUGGGGUUGUGAGAAGAGAUAUGAAGAAGAAUUAUAGAGAUGUCUAUGGUUGAACUGACAAGUGUUGGACAUUAGAGACAAGGGAGAUGGAAAAUUGAUAUGACCUACUAUCAACACUUUACUGUAUUAAGCAAUUGAAGAGAUUUUUAAAAAAGGAAAUAAGACACAUUCCUUGAUGCUGUGGAGCUCGUAAAUAAAUAUAAUGCAAACCAAUGCAUGAUAUGCGUAUGAAGACAGUUCUUCAGGAACAAGGAUCAUCAGGGAGAGGAGGAAAGGAAUCAGAAAAAGCAUCAUGAGACAGGAAUAUAGUCAAGUCAUAUUUAAGAACCUAUUAUGUGCCAGGAACUGUGCUAAAUUCCACGAAGCAGCUCCUUAUAGACUGACUUAUUGGAAAACAACUAUUCAAAGGCAUUAUCUCUUGUAUUUUUUUUCAAACUUAAAUUCCCUUUUUCUACUAAA
rnacentral:lncRNA from 1 species